rnacentral:rRNA from 1 species
UAGGGAAUCUUCGGCAAUGGACGGAAGUCUGACCGAGCAACGCCGCGUGAGUGAAGAAGGUUUUCGGAUCGUAAAGCUCUGUUGUAAGAGAAGAACGAGUGUGAGAGUGGAAAGUUCACACUGUGACGGUAUCUUACCAGAAAGGGACGGCUAACUACGUGCCAGCAGCCGCGGUAAUACGUAGGUCCCGAGCGUUGUCCGGAUUUAUUGGGCGUAAAGCGAGCGCAGGCGGUUAGAUAAGUCUGAAGUUAAAGGCUGUGGCUUAACCAUAGUACGCUUUGGAAACUGUUUAACUUGAGUGCAGAAGAGGAAAGUGGAAUUCCAUGUGUAGCGGUGAAAUGCGCAGAGAUAUGGAGGAACACCAGUGGCGAAGGCGACUUUCUGGUCUGUAACUGACGCUGAUGUGCGAAAGCGUGGGGAUCAAACAGGAUUAGAUACCCUGGUAGUCCACGCCGUAACGAUGAGUGCUAAGUGUUAGGGGGUUUCCGCCCCUUAGUGCUGCAGCUAACGCAUUAAGCACUCCGCCUGGGGAGUACGACCGCAAGGUU